CUCUGCCCAGCUCCUAUCCCUACCUCCUCGUGGUACCGGCCGGAAACUUUGAGCAACCUUAGGGAAAAUCGGGUAACCAACCACGGUGGGAACUUUGGUCGUAGGCUGAAAGGGAAGG
rnacentral:ribozyme from 1 species